AGAAAUUCCGGCUUCGGUCGGGAGAGUAAAGUGGCGCACGGGUGAGUAACGCGUGGGUAACCUGCCUAUUAAUCUGGGAUAACUUCGCGAAAGCGUUGCUAAUACCGGAUAUUGUUCUUUGAACCCCGGUUUGAAGAAUGAAAGAUGACCUCUUCAUGAAAGUUGUCGUUAGUAGUGGGGCCCGCGUACCAUUAGCUAGUUGGUAGGGUAACGGCCUACCAAGGCUAUGAUGGUUAGCUGGUCUGAGAGGAUGGCCAGCCACACUGGAACUGGAACACGGUCCAGACUCCUACGGGAGGCAGCAGUGAGGAAUUUUGCCCAAUGGGGGAAACCCUGAGGCAGCAACGCCGCGUGAGUGAAGAAGGCCUUCGGGUCGUAAAGCUCUGUCAAGUGGGAAAAAGAUUUUACGGUAAAUAGCCGUGAAAUUUGAUGGUACCGCUGGAGGAAGCACCGGCUAACUCCGUGCCAGCAGCCGCGGUAAUACGGAGGGUGCUAGCGUUAUUCGGAAUUAUUGGGCGUAAAGCGCGUGCAGGCGGCUUGGCAAGUCAGAUGUGAAAGCCCUGGGCUCAACCCAGGAAGUGCAUUUGAAACUAUCAAGCUUGAGUAUGGGAGAGGAGAGUGGAAUUCCCAGUGUAGAGGUGAAAUUCGUAGAUAUUGGGAGGAACACCCGUGGCGAAGGCGACUCUCUGGACCAAUACUGACGCUGAGACGCGAAAGCGUGGGGAGCAAACAGGAUUAGAUACCCUGGUAGUCCACGCCUUAAACGAUGAGAACUAGGUGUAGCGGGUAUUGACCCCUGCUGUGCCGUAGCAAACGCAUUAAGUUCUCCGCCUGGGGAGUACGGUCGCAAGGCUAAAACUCAAAGGAAUUGACGGGGGCCCGCACAAGCGGUGGAGCAUGUGGUUUAAUUCGACGCAACGCGAAGAACCUUACCUGGAUUUGACAUCCUUUGACGGUCCUAGAAAUAGGAUCUUUCCUGCUUGCAGGAACAAAGAGACAGGUGCUGCAUGGCUGUCGUCAGCUCGUGUCGUGAGAUGUUGGGUUAAGUCCCGCAACGAGCGCAACCCUUGUCUUUAGUUGCCCUUAUUCAGUUAGGCACUCUAAGAUACUGCCUCGGUUAACGAGGAGGAAGGUGGGGAUGACGUCAAGUCCUCAUGGCCUUUAUAUCCAGGGCUACACACGUGCUACAAUGGGCUGUACAAAGAGUCGCAAAUCCGCGAGGAUAAGCUAAUCUCAAAAAGCAGCUCUCAGUUCGGAUCGGAGUCUGCAACUCGACUCCGUGAAGUUGGAAUCGCUAGUAAUCGUGGAUCAGCAUGCCACGGUGAAUACGUUCCCGGGCCUUGUACACACCGCCCGUCGCACCACGAAAGUCGAUUGUACCAGAAGUUGCUGGGCUAACCCGCAAGGGAGGCAGGCACCUAAGGUACGAUUGGUGAUUGGGGUGAAGUCGAAACAAGGUA
rnacentral:rRNA from 1 species